CCGGUAAUUAACUUUAUUUUUCAUAAAAUAUAAAUUCUGGCUGAAUAUUAACAAUGCAUACUUGGUAAUAAAAUGCAUAGAUAAAGAUUAUAAGCCAUAUCAAUGGCAUUAUAAUCAUGAAGUUUAAUAACACUGACAUAUGCAUUGUCUGGGAAAUGUGUACCAAUAGCAUUAACAGCACAUGAUGGAAUGGGCCUGCGAUUCCUUUGUCAUAGGUAACCGUGAAUCCAGGAUGCUGUCUUCCUGACCUACGUAGAUAAACCUGGGUCAGUUUUUUAAAAACAAGAUGCCGAAGAAAUACAGGUUAUGACACUGUUGUAUAUUGCAUGGAAAAUACAAACGCAAAAUAUUACUUAUGUUGUCUUAGUAUAUUUUUAAAACACAAAGGGAGGGAGGGGGUAGAGGUGAGUUUACUUACCUGAACCAAUCCCUCAUGGAUCCCAACAUCUUUCUCAGUCAGCUCCUCUUCAACUCCUGGCGCUACAGCCCUAAAAGUCGAUUACAAUAUUGAACCCAGCCAGGGCCGGCCUUAGGGGUGUGCAUGCUGUGCAGCCGCACAGGGCGCCACGGCAGAAGGGGGCGCCAUACGGCUAACAUAGCACAUAAUGCUUAGCUGGGAAGUGGGUUCUAAAGCAAGUCUGGCUACCCGGUUGCAAGAUUUUUAUAAUUCUUCACACCGGACUAUCAAAGAAAACAACAAGGUAGCAGGGGCGGGGCAAAUAGCGCCCAGAAGCCGAUGCCUGGUAACUGCUGCACAGGUAGGAAUCCCUACUUUCCCAACAACUAUCAGAAUCCAGGAAUUGCACUGACUCUACUCCUCCCUGGAAUGAGGUAACUGUGUGUGUGACUGUCUGCCUAUAACUGUGUGUCUCUCUGUGUGUAUGUCUGCCUGUAACUGUGUGUGUGUGUGACUGUCUGCAUACAAGCGCACGUGUGUGUUAAUGUCUACUUGUAACUGUGUGUGUGACUGUCUAAUUGUGUGUGAGUGUGAAACUGUCUGCCUGUAAUUGUGUGUGUGUGUGUGUCUAUCUGCCUGUAACUGUAUGUGUGACUGCCUGUCUGUAACUGUGUGUGACUGCCUUCCAGUACCUGUGUAUGUGUGUGACUGCCUGUACCUGUAUGUUUGACUAUAUACCUGCAACUGUGAGUCUGACUGUGUGCAUGUUGCUGUAUAUUACAAUGUAUAUGUAUAAAUCUGUGCAUCUGACUGUGAGACUGUGUGCAUGUGACUCUGCAAAAAUAUACACAUGGGCAUACAUACAUACAUAUUUUUAUCUGAAUGAAAUACUCAUCACACAC